GUCCUAGCCCUAAACGAUGAAUACUUGGUGUCUGGAGUUUUUAUUCUCCGGGUGCCGUCGCUAACGUUUUAAGUAUUCCGCCUGGGGAGUACGCACGCAAGUGUGAAACUCAAAGGAAUUGACGGGGACCCGCACAAGCGGUGGAGCAUGUGGUUUAAUUCGACGCAACGCGAAGAACCUUACCUGGACUAGAAUGUGAGGGAAGGUCGUCUAAUAGCGACCGUCCGGGCAACCGGACCCAAAACAAGGUGCUGCAUGGCUGUCGU
rnacentral:rRNA from 1 species